AACGGUCUAACGGGCUUAGUAGAGCGGCGGACGGGUGAGUAACGCGUAAUUAAUCUGCCAUUCAGUGAAGGAUACCUGCGAGAAAUCGCAGUUAAUCCUGCAUACGUCCCCACAGCGAGAGCUGUAGGGAAAAAGGUGGCCUCUUGCUGCCGCUGAAUGAUGAGAUUGCGUGCUAUUAGCUAGUUGGUGGAGUAAAAGCCUACCAAGGCAAAGAUGGCUAGCCGGCCUGAGAGGGUGAUCGGCCACACUGGAACUGAGACACGGUCCAGACGCCUACGGGAGGCAGCAGUGGGGAAUAUUGCGCAAUGGGCGAAAGCCUGACGCAGCGACGCCGCGUGAAGGAUGAAGGCCUUCGGGUCGUAAACUUCUGUUAGGAGGAAAGAAACGCACAGAAUUAAUACCUCUGUGUAAUGACGGUACCUCCAGAGAAAGCACUGGCUAACUUCGUGCCAGCAGCCGCGGUAAUACGAAGGGUGCGAGCGUUAUUCGGAAUCAUUGGGCGUAAAGGGUGCGCAGGCGGCAUAGUAAGUCAGCUGUCUAAAUCUCCGGCCUAACCGGAGAACGGCGGCAGAUACUGCAAUGCUAGAGGAUGGAAGAGAGAGGUGGAAUUCUCGGAGUAGCGAUGAAAUGCGUAGAUCUCGAGAGGAACACCGAUGGCGAAGGCAGCCUCUUGGUCCAUUCCUGACGCUCAGGCACGAGAGCGUGGGGAGCAAACAGGAU
rnacentral:rRNA from 1 species